CUUAAAAUCUAUAUCAUUUUCAUAUGAUGUUAUGAUCUCGAGAGAUCAUGAAAAUGGAUCCUGAAAUCUAGCGAGACAUCAAAGAACCUGAAUGUAAUUUAUGACAUAUUGUAAUGUUUUCCAACUGGAAAUGCACAAAUUGAAUUUGCCAUGAAAUCUCUUUCAGCUCAAACAUUUUGAGUACUAAAAAAGAUUUUUAACUAUUUAGUUUAUAUUCUAGUUGACCUUCAGUUGAAAUAUAUUCAAAAGUAAGCGGUGCCCAGACUAAUUAGAAUUCAACGUCAUCCAUUUGUAUGGAAUGCCAAUAAAUCUUUAGCACAUUGCGUCUAACAAUGGGCAUUGAAAACAAUAUUUAUAGAAUGGCUGACGCUUAUAAAUUUGAAAUACUUUAGCUAUUUUUGCCACCUUCGAGUAUAUGAAACUUUUUGCCACUAGACGAAUGAAACAGAUAUCAAAAUGAUUGAUCAUCAGAUCGUAUAAUUUGUAAGCGUUUUGAAUUUAUUUAUUUGACUUUCAGCAUCAGACAAUGGGAUAAGCCCAGGCAGUUCAUCAACUAACUCCAAAAACAACGAUAUUACAGAAACAAAAACUGUAAAUUUAUGUGUUACUUUUCUCUUCUUCUUUUCUAUAAUGUAAAAACGUCGAGUCAUUUAUCAAAAUGUAUUUUGUGAACAAAAUUUAACAGCUAAAUUUGCGUUAGCCGCUGGCUAUCAAGUGUUUCCCAGGCAGCUUAAAAUGCAAAACCGCAAUACACUAACUACAACAACAACAACAACAGCAACAGCAACACAGCAUCAGCUGGCUACUUUUAGAUACAUAUUUGUCUAAAGUCAAGUUCCAUGGAGGCAAGCACUUGAGCCACGGAAUUCUCAAUGGGUGCAGCAAUGCCUAAGCUGAGACUGAGACGGAGACUGGGGCUGGGGCCCCGACUUGGAAACUGUGUCAGCAGCAAAUUGAAAAGUUGAUUUACAAUAAAGAAAAAAAAAAUACAACUCAAAUAAUGUUUACUUGGUAUAGGCCAAAUUGAAUUUAGCCAUGGCUCCGCGUGUGGCUCCAAGCAGAGAUGUACGUGUGCCUCUCUCUCUCUCGCUCUCUCACUUGCUGUGUGUGUCAGCUGUCGGGCUAAAUAAAUCGUAAACACCGAUUCGCUGACCGAGACACGUCGAGAGACCUCAGUCUCAAAGAAUGUCUCAAAAUAAAUAACUACGAUGAAAAGCAGAAUGGAAAAAAUAAAUAAAAAUAAAAAGCGAACAAAAAAUUGGACUCGCUGCUAAAUUAAACAGUUUCGCAACUCAAUUUGGUUUUUUGGACAUGUGUGUCACGAGGUGCGACGCGAGGAGGACUAAAGCAAAGCAAAAAGACUGCGACUCAAAAUCCCAAUACGAA